AGCGAACGCUGGCGGCAGGCUUAACACAUGCAAGUCGAACGGGCUUCUUCGGAAGUCAGUGGCAGACGGGUGAGUAACACGUGGGAACGUGCCCUUCGGUUCGGAAUAACUCAGGGAAACUUGAGCUAAUACCGGAUACGCCCUUUUGGGGAAAGGUUUACUGCCGAAGGAUCGGCCCGCGUCUGAUUAGCUUGUUGGUGGGGUAACGGCCUACCAAGGCGACGAUCAGUAGCUGGUCUGAGAGGAUGAUCAGCCACACUGGGACUGAGACACGGCCCAGACUCCGACGGGAGGCAGCAGUGGGGAAUAUUGGACAAUGGGCGCAAGCCUGAUCCAGCCAUGCCGCGUGAGUGAUGAAGGCCUUAGGGUUGUAAAGCUCUUUUGUCCGGGACGAUAAUGACGGUACCGGAAGAAUAAGCCCCGGCUAACUUCGU
rnacentral:rRNA from 1 species